CCGCCCUUAGCUCAGUUGGAUAGAGCAACGGCCUUCUAAGCCGUAGGUCACACGUUCGAAUCGUGUAGGGCGGGCCA
rnacentral:tRNA from 163 species